CCAGAUUGUGAAGAGCUGUAAAUACCAAACAAAGGACUUUAUAUUUGAGCCUGGAGGUAAUAGAGAGCCAUUGAAAUUUAUUUAGAAGGACAAGAUUAAAAAAUGUGCAUACAAGACAGCCAUGUUGGUUCUCAUCAGAAAAGAGCAGAUGAUUUCAAUUUAAAUACAGCAUGCAUAAAGCAGUUUCCAGUUCAGUACAACAGCCAGGCUGAAGAAUUAGGUCACCUCCUUUCUUGCAGAAAAUAUAUUCUAUAUACCAGAAGACAUCAUCCCAGGAAGCUAUCCUUGUGAAGAUAUGUUCUGGCAAUUGCUUCUGUGGGUUUUAGAGCCUCUUGCCUUCUCAGAAUCCAGAGCUACUGAAGACCCACAAAAUAAAAUUUUUA